rnacentral:tmRNA from 1 species
GGGGGUGAUCGGCUUCGACUUUGACGGUUGAUUUGAGAGAAGCGAGUCGUGGUCUCCGGAUCCACGUUAAAGAGUCGGAACAAUCACAAACGCCAACGUCAAAACCAAUGACAUGGCACUCGCUGCCUGAUAAAGGCAACGGGUAACGGCCCCACUACCUCAGCCCUUCAGGUAGAGGUGGCCCUCAUUUGAAGGGCUU